GACAGAGGUGCCGAGCGUUAGGCGGAAUCACUGGGCUUAAAGCGUGUGUAGGCGGACCGUUAAGUACCUUGUGAAAUCCCACGGCUCAACCGUGGAACGGCUGGGUAUACUGGCGGUCUUGGGCCACCUAGGGGCGAGCGGAACAAGCGGUGGAGCGGUGAAAUGCGUAGAUAUCAAGCGGAACACCGGUGGCGAAGGCGGCCUUCUGGACGAUGACUGACGCUGAGACGCGAAAGCGUGGGGAGCAAACAGG
rnacentral:rRNA from 1 species